GCAAGUCGAGGGGUAACGAAGGGAGCUUGCUCCCUGUCGACGACCGGCGGACGGGUGAGUAAUGCACGAGAAUCUGCCUUUCAGUGGGGGAUAGCUUGGAGAAAUCCAAAUUAAUACCGCAUAUAGCCUAAGGGUGAAAGAGGGGACCGCAAGGCCUCUCGCUGAAAGAUGAGCUCGUGUGGGAUUAGCUUGUUGGUGAGGUAAUGGCUCACCAAGGCAACGAUCCCUAGCUGAUUUGAGAGGAUGAUC
rnacentral:rRNA from 1 species